rnacentral:lncRNA from 1 species
AUGGGGAGAGGAAGAGCAGGAAAGGAAGUGUUUGAUAGGAGGACACAGGGGAUGCAGAGGGACCCAAAUGCUCAUGCAUGUUGCCCACACAAUUCUGCAUUGCUUGGGUACCCACACACUUUCUCUGUGAGGAGACAGCUGAGUGAUUAUCCCUCAGACCAUCAGGAAGAACACAGUGGCAAUGGAAAGGAAAUCUGCAGCUUCUUUCUGGGACCACUGCUUCUUCAAGGACUGAGUGGAGUGUUUGAAGAUGCUCUGAGCUGCAGUCUCAGUCUCUCUCUACCUGCUGGCAUGGAAGAAAACAGAGUCUCUCACCUUCCUCUUGCUGCAUAG